CUAAAUUUGUCCACUGACUGGAAUUAGAAUAGUUCUGGGUGGGUCUGAAUGGAUUUGCUGAAAACAGAAGCCCCAUGUUGGUUGUUGGUAGCACCACCCAAAAAGUUUGUAGCCUGUUUGGAAUAAAAAGGAGAGGCAGGCUGGCUUCUGCUGUUGCUUGCUGCUUCACUGCCUUUUGUCUGCCAUACUAUGUACUGUUUCUCCUCUCUGAUGCCCCUUGUUAUCCUGUCCUUGGAGCUAGUUGACUGUGGACUGAAACCUCUACAAAACUAAUGAAGACUGCUUUUAUUCUCUUGUUCCUGUUGAAAAAUAACAACUCUGCCACCCACCCUUGUCUCCUAUUGCAAGAAGACCUCCAGAGUAAUUAAAUUCAACAGUUGAAAUGAUGUCAGCUUCCGCCACAUCCUCAUUGACUGCACCCUUCACCUGUGAGAAGCACCACUGGAAGUCUUGGCUGCCCUUUGGGCAGCCGCAGCCUCGGGCUCCUGACUUGGCAGCAGCGUGGGACAGGGCCUGCCCAGCCGAGCGCUCCCGACCCGAGGCGCCCCACUGAGUGCUCAGCUCUGGCUGCCAUCGCAGCCCAUUGCUUUUUUUUUUUUGCUGUACUGGGGUCAAACUCAAGACUUUGUGCUUGCCAGGCAGGCACAGCGCUGCUGAGAUUCAACCUGCUCUUGGAUCUUUAACAUACUGUGGCACUAGAAAUCAAGAAGUUACCAUUAACUGCAUGGUCACCUGACUUGUAGGAGGUCAAGGAAAUAAAGAUGUGAACAGACAAAAAACCCCAAGGUAUCCGAAGGAGCCCUCCAGGAAAUGGGAAGCAGACUUGGUGCUAGGUGCCCAGCAAUGUCCCCUGGAGCGUUUGUUCAGCACAGGGGGAGGCGGAGGGAGGAAAGAGCCCUUGGCUCACUUAGCUAAUUGCAAGCAGAAGGAAGAGAAAAAUAACAUGAUUAGCAUGUUUCUCUCCUUCCCUUGAUGACGAUGACAGAGCAGGCAAUCUUCUGUUUGUGCAGAGGGGCUCAGAGAGGGAGUGCUGAGAGCAUCUGUUCUGAGAAACUGCUGUUCAAAAUGGAAGGAAAUACACAAAGCCAAGAGGAACCUCCGUUGUGAGAAGAGCUGAGAGAUGAAGAACAAUGCCUGUAGGACUCUUAGAAAAGCCAUCUCCAUGAGCCACUGCCUCCUUCUCAGCACCAGUAUUCUGGAAAGAGCACACCUCAUAAAGUCCUCCUGAAGGGCAGAGAUGCUGGGGAAUUUAUCCACCAACUCUUUCCCCUGUGGGCUCAGAGGAGCUCCUGAACAUGGACAUCAGCUUCCUGUCACUGGAACAGAGCCUUCUAAAAGAAAUGGUUCAUUUUGGCUCAUGAUUUGGGAGGUUAUGCUCAUCACACAUUUGGGCCUGAGAGGAGGUAGAACAUUGCACUGAGAGUGCAUGGUAAAGCAAAGCUGCUCACCUCAGGGCCAGGAAGUGAAAAAGAGGGGGUGGGGUUACACAGUCCUCUCUGGGACUCUAAGCAACGUAAGGACCUGGGACUUGGCCCGACCUGGAGUUCCCACUGUCUCCCAGUGUGCCAGCCAGGGACCAAGCCUUUAACACAUGGGGCACUUUGGAGGACACUCAAUAUCUGAACUACAGUGAUGAGACAAGCCUGCCCUGUCCAGAGAACACCCUCAGGCAGGGCAAGGACAGAGGCUUUUGGCUGUGGGCAACCUGCCUGUUGGGACCACAGGAUGAAGGGAUGUUGUAAGGCAUAGGCAGCUCUGCUGCAGGGACUGUGCCUUCCCCUUUUGGCAUCCUCAGUACUGAGACCACAUCUGGAAGUUCAUGAACACUCAGCAAAUGUUCAAUGAACACAGGAAUGGGUGAG
ensembl:lncRNA